GAACGCUGGCGGCGUGCUUAACACAUGCAAGUCGAACGAAAAGACGGAAAGAGCUUGCUCUUUUCAGAAUUGAGUGGCAAACGGGUGAGUAACACGUAAACAACCUGCCUUCAGGAUGGGGACAACAGACGGAAACGAUUGCUAAUACCGAAUAAGUUCCAAGGGCCGCAUGGCCCAUGGAAGAAAAGGUGGCCUCUACCUGUAAGCUAUCGCCUGAAGAGGGGUUUGCGUCUGAUUAGCUGGUUGGAGGGGUAACGGCCCACCACGGCGACGAUCAGUAGCCGGUCUGAGAGGAUGAACGGCCACACUGGAACUGAGACACGGUCCAGACUCCUACGGGAGGCAGCAGUGGGGAAUCUUCCGCAAUGGGCGAAAGCCUGACGGAGCAACGCCGCGUGAGUGAUGACGGCCUUCGGGUUGUAAAACUCUGUGAUCCGGGACGAAAAGGCAGAGUGCGAAGAACAAACUGCAUUGACGUACCAGAAAAGCAUCC
rnacentral:rRNA from 1 species